GGACAGAGCUGGUCUGAAAAGCAAGCACCUUUUAGUCAUGGGUGCGUUGGCCUUGUGGGGCGGUACAGUGUCUAGUGGGGUGUGAGCAACCCUUUGGUUUGCCCUUGCAGGAUGUUCUAGGAGUUGGUGGUCAAUGUAUUAGGCUCUGGGCCAGAUAGUCCCUCAGUGUCUUAUCUUUGAGGUCCAAGUCCUCCCCAACCUUGUCUUUUCUGAGUCCGGGAAAGGAUGACAAUACCCCUAUGGGCAGCAGGGGCAAGCCCCCCACAUCUCGGGACUUUCCUGCCUCCCGUGAAGUGCAGGUGGCAGGGUUGAGAGAAAUUCAUCCAUGCUGUCUUGCUUGCUGGUGGCAGCUGAUGGUGCAUGGGUGACCUUGGGGAGGGGACACAGCAGGCCUUAAGCGGGCAGCUUGUUCUCUGUUGAUCACCUACUGUGUAAGCCCAUGCUCUGCUGAACACCUACUGUGUGUCAGGCUCUGGCAGGUCAUUCUGUUCACAGUGGUUUUUUUUUUUUUUUUUUUUUUUUUUACCAGGACUUGCUUCUUGUCCUCCAAACCUCUGUACUGGCCUGAGAGCUGUCACCCAGAGCAGGGAUGGGCAUCUGUGUUCUGUUACAAGCUCCCCAGCAGAGGCUGGGUGUGGGGACUGCUGAUGCUGCGCCCUGUUUUCUGAGCUCCCGGGGAGAGGGUUUGGCCUGUUCUGUUCCGUACAUUGUGUCACUCCGCGGGGUAUCGUCUCUGCCUCUCGUCACCUGUGAC
rnacentral:lncRNA from 1 species